UCCCUAUAAAACGCAGCAGUCCCUUCCUCUGGAUAGCCUGCGGCUUUUUGAAGGCAAUAGCGAGCUGCAGUCUCCUUUGCCUGGCAAAGCAAUAAAGCUACGGUUCCUCUUUAUUCCAAACUUUAUCUUUGUGUUAUAUUUUGGCUCUGAAGCAUGGAGUUCAGUUUUUACAACAUUUUGUUCUUGCACCAUUUGUUUUUCUACUACUGUAUCUGCAUGGCUUGUGCCAACAUUGAUCAUCUAGUCUAAAUAGCAUGAGAAAGGAGAUAUCACAUCCGUCCUGUAUCCCUAGGACUUAACACAAUGAAUGUUUAUGAAACAGAAGUAUCUUCCCAAGGGUACAAAGGCCUUAUCCAGUGACUUCAGCCCCUCAAGGCUACAGAUUUCCCUGCAUUUUGGUAAUACCAGUCCCUUCCCCCUUCUCUCAAGGGAUGGUCAUUGUUUAUAAUAAUUGUUGCCUCCUGGAUGAUCAGCCAUUCUGCCUAGUUUCUUUACAGCCUGACCACACAUCUUCAUUAAAAUUUUUUCAAUUCAAUACUUUGAAUGUGCUGUUUCUGCUCGAACCCUAACUAAUGUAAAGUAAUAAUAAUAGCUACUAAGUAUUAUGAUACGCUAAAUAUUGUGUGAGGAAGUGAAAAUGACCUAUAGAAGCUCAUAAUAAUCAUCUGAGGCUG
rnacentral:lncRNA from 1 species